AUUGAACGCUGGCGGCAGGCUUAACACAUGCAAGUCGAGCGGAGAUGAGGUGCUUGCACCUUAUCUUAGCGGCGGACGGGUGAGUAAUGCUUAGGAAUCUGCCUAUUAGUGGGGGACAACAUUCCGAAAGGAAUGCUAAUACCGCAUACGUCCUACGGGAGAAAGCAGGGGAUCUUCGGACCUUGCGCUAAUAGAUGAGCCUAAGUCGGAUUAGCUAGUUGGUGGGGUAAAGGCCUACCAAGGCGACGAUCUGUAGCGGGUCUGAGAGGAUGAUCCGCCACACUGGGACUGAGAAACGGCCCAGAGUCCUACGGGAGGCAGAAGUGGGGAAUAUUGGACAAUGGGGGGAACCCUGAUCCAGCCAUGCCGCGUGUGUGAAGAAGGCCUUAUGGUUGUAAAGCACUUUAAGCGAGGAGGAGGCUCUUUUGGUUAAUACCCAAGAUGAGUGGACGUUACUCGCAGAAUAAGCACCGGCUAACUCUGUGCCAGCAGCCGCCGUAA
rnacentral:rRNA from 1 species